UACGUAGGGUGCGAGCGUUGUCCGGAAUUAUUGGGCGUAAAGAGCUUGUAGGCGGUUUGUCGCGUCUGCCGUGAAAAUUCGAGGCUCAACCUCGAACUUGCGGUGGGUACGGGCAGACUAGAGUGUGGUAGGGGAGACUGGAAUUCCUGGUGUAGCGGUGAAAUGCGCAGAUAUCAGGAGGAACACCGAUGGCGAAGGCAGGUCUCCUGGGCCACUACUGACGCUGAGAAGCGAAAGCAUGGGGAGCGAACAGG
rnacentral:rRNA from 1 species